AAUCGUCUCAAUACGAAAGACCGCGCGGAUGUGUCGUUAGUGUGCACGUGUUCUUUACGCUCGCGCAGUGUUUCGUAAAGAGAAGAGG